rnacentral:lncRNA from 10 species
AAGCCACGGUUUUUGUGUCCGCGGCUGCACCCCUCUCGAAGCGUUUUCACGCACAUGUGAGAAACCUCACACCCUGGGGCCGAUUUCUUUAGUAGAUUGGCGCCCAAAUGGCAAAGAUUUCCAGGGAUUUGUUUGGGAUUCCAUAUUUUUGUAGAUUUGCCGAGAUUGGAUACUAGUACAAUAUUGAGAAUUCCCGUCCAGCAAUGUGGCUAUUUUUUUAAAUUAAUUCAGUUCUCCCUUUGUUUUUCAGGUAAAGCGUUGCAGUUCGCUUGGUGUUGUGCGCAUUUAACAUUUUUUCAUAGCUAUUUUUGUUAUUGUAGUUUGUUUUUACUAAUAGACUAUUAAUCCAUUAGUAUCCUUGUAUAAGAAUGGCUUUUGAUUGUUGAUCUAUCUGGACACUUCACUAAACGUUCGUAUUCUAAAAAUUUGACAGGCAGUCCUCUUUGAUUUGUAGGUAAGAAUUUAUCUGUAAAGAACAAUUUUGGCUUUUCCCAAGAAUCCAGUGCAACACUGAAUAGUAGCCGGAGGGAUAACAUCACUAUUAUAAAACCUACGAUUGGUGCUCAAGGUAUUUUCAGACCCCUCCCUGGAUGGAUCAGCUGCUCCCACCCAGACUGAUGGUCUUGUGGCUUCCACUCAGGAACUGACUCAGCACAAGAGGACAGCUUUGACUCCCCAUUCCUGGGGGACCAGUCAGCACUCCCCACUACCUGCCCCCCAUCCAUGAGAUUAUCCUUAAAAACCCCAGUCUCCGAAUUUUCAGGGAGACUGAUCUGAGCAAUAAUAAAACGGCAGUCUCCUGUACAACCAGCUGUGUGAAUUAAACUCUUUCUCUGUUACAAUUCCUUUGUCUUGAUAAAUCGGCUCUAUUUGGGCAGUGGGCAAAAUGAACCUGAUGGGCAGUUACUAAGGGUGAAGUGUGGGAGUAGGGUUACAGAUUAAAGGAUAGUUUAGGAAGGCAUCCCAGAGGUGAGGCCAAAGCAGAAUCUUGAAGGGCAAGAAUUAUCCAGGCAAAGAAGGUAAGGAUAGAGAAGAGUAUUCAGGCCAGGCAUGGUGGCUCACGCCUGUAAUCAUAGCUCUUUGGGAGGCUGAGGUGGGCAGGUCACGAGCCUGGAAGUUUAAGACCAGCCUGGGCAACACGGUGAAACUCCAUCUCUACAGAAAAUACAAAAAAAUUAGCCGGGCAUGGUGUUGCAUGCCUGUAGUCCCAUCUACUUGGGAGGCAGAGGUGGAAGGAUCACCUGAACCCAGGGAGGUCAAGGCUGCAGUGAGCUGUAAUUGCGCCACUGGACUGCAGCCUGGGUGACAGAGUAAGACCCUAUCUCAAAAAAAAGAGUAUUCCAGAUAGACAUAUAGCACAAGCUCAGACAAAUAUCAGAUAGCUUGGGGUGGUGUUGCUAAAUGCAAAGUAGAAAUGUCAGGAGGUGAGGCCGGAAAGGUACAAGUGGCAUGGAGGGCCUUGUAUGGCACUCCAUGAGGCUGGGCUUUUUCCUAUGGGCUAUGAAGCCACAGUGUGGGUGGGGUGGGAGUCAUAUUCAGAUUUUCAUUUGAGACGGAUCAUCAGGUGACACUGUAGAGGUUGGAUUUCAAAGAGGCACAACUAAAAAUAGGAAGAAUAGUUGUAAGUUAAAAAAUAAUGUAGGCCUGAAACAGGACAGUAGUACUGAGGAGGGGUAAGUAGUAGGAAUACUUUUAAAGAAAUUAUUUGGAGAUCAAAUUGGCAGUGCAGGGUGGGUUACUGGAUAGGGAAGAUGAGGGAGGAAUCUAAAAUAGUGUCCAAACUUUUGGCUCGGACAAUGAUGUCAUUUAGGUAGAAAAAAUUGAGGAGUAAUAGGUUGGCAGUAGUGGGGAAGGUAGGAAGAUUUCCAGUUCCGUAUGGUGAAGUGGUUCUUAAAGUCCCUAUGGGAUUCCUGAAUUUAGAUGUUCAGCAGGUACUCAGAUCAGCUUAUGGCAAAGGCCAGGGUCAGAGAUACAGACUUGAGGAGAGAGCAGCAUGGGGGUGAGAGUGUGUUCAGAAGGGCUGUGGGAGUGCUCUGGGAGUGGCUGCUGUUCCGAGGCUGGCAUUUGGCCCUGUUGACAUUCUUUUCUCUUCCCACCUUCCUUGGUGUUUCUCUUACCUCUGAUCAUUCCUUCUCCAAAUGCUUUACAGGCUCGUCUUCCUCUUCCCAUAGAAUGUGUUAUUCCUGUGUGAUUUCACCACCUGGGACCCCUACUGUGCCUCCAUCAAACCUUUAUCUCCAGCUCAGAAUUCUUAUAUAAGAUUGAGACGUAUGUCUCCAACUGCUUUCUAAGAGAAAAGAGGUAGUCAGUAGCGUGGACUGAUUAUCCAGGGACCACACAAAGGGUUUGUACUUCACUGUCCUAUUGUAUUCAGGACUGGCACUGUGAAUUGAUCCUGGCUGUGACUAUCUCUUGUUUUCUCUGAAAAUACCAAAUGUGGAAAUCAGGAGUCAGAUUUCAGACUUGUUAAUAAGCAUUAUUAACACACACACCCCCACUAUAAUCCUUCUGUAACUUAUUAACUUCCCCUUUAUGCUUAGUGUAUUGUUAUCUUUUCAUCAGGAACCAAAAUUAACCCAAAAUGGAAAUAAAAAUUUAAAUCUUAUUGAUACAGAAGAAAAAUUAC